AACAAACGCUGGCGGCGUGCCUAAUACAUGCAAGUCGAACGGGGAAAGCUUUCGGGUGAGUACUAGUGGCGCACGGGUGAGCAACGCGUGGAUAAUCUGCCUUAGAGUGGGGGAUAACUAGUCGAAAGAUUAGCUAAUACCGCAUAAGACCACAGGAACUGCGGUUCAAGGGGUCAAAGGUUUUUCGCUCUAAGAUGAGUCCGCGUAAGAUUAGCUAGUUGGUAGGGUAACGGCCUACCAAGGCGACGAUCUUUAACUGGUCUGAGAGGAUGAUCAGUCACACUGGAACUGAGACACGGUCCAGACUCCUACGGGAGGCAGCAGUAGGGAAUAUUGCACAAUGGAGGAAACUCUGAUGCAGCGACGCUGCGUGAGUGAUGAAGGCCUUCGGGUCGUAAAGCUCUGUCGCAGGGGAAUAACACAAUGAAGGUACCCUGUAAGAAAGGAUCGGCUAACUUCGUGCCAGCAGCCGCCGUAAAAC
rnacentral:rRNA from 1 species